rnacentral:rRNA from 1 species
ACUCCUACGGGAGGCAGCAGUUGGGGAAUACUUGCACAAUGGGCGCAAGCCUGAUGCAGCCAUGCCGCGUGUGUGAAGAAGGCCUUCGGGUUGUAAAGCACUUUCUAGUCGUGAGGAAGGUAGUAGUAGUUAACUAGCUGCAUUAUUUGACGUUAGCGACAGAAGAAGCACCGGCUAACUCCGUGCCAGCAGCCGCGGUAAUACGGAGGGUGCGAGCGUUAAUCGGAAUUACUGGGCGUAAAGCGCAUGCAGGUGGUUUGUUAAGUCAGAUGUGAAAGCCCGGGGCUCAACCUCGGAAUUGCAUUUGAAACUGGCAGACUAGAGUACUGUAGAGGGGGGUAGAAUUUCAGGUGUAGCGGUGAAAUGCGUAGAGAUCUGAA